rnacentral:rRNA from 1 species
UACGGAGGGAGCUAGCGUUGUUCGGAAUUACUGGGCGUAAAGCGCACGUAGGCGGCUUUUUAAGUCAGGGGUGAAAUCCCGGGGCGCAACCCCGGAACUGCCCUUGAAACUGGGAAGCUAGAAUCUUGGAGAGGCGAGUGGAAUUCCGAGUGUAGAGGUGAAAUUCGUAGAUAUUCGGAAGAACACCAGUGGCGAAGGCGACUCGCUGGACAAGUAUUGACGCUGAGGUGCGAAAGCGUGGGGAGCAAACAGG